GAUCUUGUAGUUUUAAAAAUAUUAAAUUGCAAAUUUAAAGAUGACUUGUUCUAAGAUUU
rnacentral:tRNA from 1 species